UACAGAGGGUGCGAGCGUUGUCCGGAAUCACUGGGCGUAAAGGGCGCGUAGGUGGCGGCCCAAGUCCAUGGUGAAAGCUCGAUGCUCAACAUCGAGUCGGCCACGGAUACUGGGUUGCUCGAGCACUGUAGGGGCAGAUGGAAUUCCGGGUGUAGCGGUGGAAUGCGUAGAGAUCCGGAAGAACACCGGUGGCGAAGGCGGUCUGCUGGGCAGUUGCUGACACUGAGGCGCGACAGCGUGGGGAGCAAAUAGG
rnacentral:rRNA from 1 species